GAAAUGCGAUAAGUAAUGUGAAUUGCAGAAUUCAGUGAAUCAUCGAAUCUUUGAACGCACAUUGCGCCCUUUGGUAUUCCGAAGGGCAUGCCUGUUCGAGCGUCAUUUAAACCUCAAGCACUGCUUGGUUUUGGGCGCAGGUCUUCGGAAGACCCGCCCGUAACUCGUUGGUGGUCGGUACCGGCUCUAAGCGUAGCAGAAACUUUCGCUUCCGAGAACGGUGCCCUCCCGCCCCGGAAACUCACAUCUGAAGUUUGACCUCGGAUCAGGUAGGGAUACCCGCUGAACUUAA
rnacentral:misc_RNA from 1 species